CUCACUAGUACAGGUCCAAGCGACAGGCCUGACUUCAAAAGGGUUGGGCAAGGGCAACCUUAACAAGUGCUGAGAGAGAGGAGCCAGGGACACAGGAUACACUGCAGCAAUGAUUCACACUCCGUUGUCUGCUUGGUUCCAGGCUCCUGGUGAGAGUUCUGUAUGUUUUUUUUUUCACUAAAGGUGUAGGCUAACCCUAAGGGAGAAGAAAGUUGCUGGUUGAAAAUGAAGGGCAUAUUAAUUACAGUGUAUUUCUACUUUCUUUCCUGAUUUAAACUUUUAAAAUCUGUAAGGGAACACCCUAGAGAAUAUUUCAAAAUGAAGGACCCAUGUGAAUACUUGCCUUUAUGCAGGAAAUGCACUGAUUAAUCAUUUGGUUUUCCACCCUGACCUAGUCAACAUUUCUGCCAACGAUUUGAAUGACUGCGGAUGUUGACAUGUAGAAAACACUUGCGAGCUACAUGAACCUGGAAGCAAGUUACUGGACCUUUCACAUUGAUUUGUGAAGAAAGGACUAAAAUUUUUGAGUGGACACUGCACUUGUGAUCCAGAAUCUCUGAAAUUUUUAUGAAUCAACCCCGUGGUGGAAUAUUGGAAAUCCAUUGUUCAAGUUCAGAAAAAGGCUUGCCAAAGGAUGAAGAUGACACUUGGUUGUAGAAGGAAAGCUAUCCUCAAGAGAGAAAUUGGAAAAGAGUAUUAAGAAAUAAUUUGCUUGUGGGGAUAUUUAUAUUUUGGAUGUGAGCUGUCUCCCCCAAAUCUCAUGUGUGAGACAAUGCAAGAAGAUUUAGAGCCUCACCUGGAGCCCCAAGGAAUAGAACCAGAUGUCUGUG